rnacentral:rRNA from 1 species
GAUCUUUUGUUUGAUCCUGGCUCAGAUUGAACGCUGGCGGAGGCSAAMRMAUGCAAGUCGAACGGUAGCACAGAGAGCUUGCUCUYKGKUGACGAGUGGCGGACGGGUGAGUAAUGUCUGGGAAACUGCCUGAUGGAGGGGGAUAACUACUGGAAACGGUAGCUAAUACCGCAUAACGUCGCAAGACCAAAGAGGGGGACCUUCGGGCCUCUUGCCAUCAGAUGUGCCCAGAUGGGAUUAGCUAGUAGGUGGGGUAACGGCUCACCUAGGCGACGAUCCCUAGCUGGUCUGAGAGGAUGACCAGCCACACUGGAACUGAGACACGGUCCAGACUCCUACGGGAGGCAKCAGUGAGGAAUAUUGCACAAUGGGCGCAAGCCUGAUGCAGSCRUGSSGSGUGUAUGAAGAAGGCCUUCGGGUUGUAAAGUACUUUCAGCGGGGAGGAAGGGAGUAAGGUUAAUAACCUUAUUCAUUGACGUUACCCGCAGAAGAAGCACCGGCUAACUCCGUGCCAGCAGCCGCGGUAAUAC